AAACCAUUACAGCUUCCUCCACCAAUUGAGAAGAAAUCUAACUUGGAGGAGUUGAUGAUGAAGUUUGUCACGUCUACUGAGAUGAGGUUCUAGUAGACCGACAGUGCUCUUAGAAAUCAGCAGGCGUCUAUUCAGAACUUGGAGAGUCAGAUUGGGCAGAUUUCUAAGAUGUUGUCUGAGAGGCAACAAGGAGCGCUCCCUAGCACUACAGAGUCAAACCCGAGGGAGCAUUGCAAGGUUAUCACCUUGCGAUCAGGUAAGUAGUUAUCUAGCUUUACCAUUAGCUGAUGAUGAUGAUGUUUUCAUGCAGGAUAAGCCAACUAGGAAGGAGCCAGAGCUUGAGGCGAUAGAAGUAGAGAAAGUGGAAUACAGGCAGAAGAGCCCUAUGAGAGAGUACCAGCCACCAGUCCCCUACCCUGCUCGACUUAACUAGAAGAAGGUUGAUAAGCAGUUUGAUGCUGAAGUAUGUCAAGUUCUUAAAGGAAAUCUUGAGCAACAAAAGAAAGCUGGAGGAUUUGGGACUAGUGACUCUGAAUGAGGAAUGUUCAGCUAUUCUUCAGAAGAAGCUGCCACUCAAAAGGAGAGAUCUAGGGAGUUUUACUGUUCCCUGCAUCAUUGGUGAUUUACCUAUUAGUGGUGCAUUGGCUGAUUUAGGAGCUAGUAUUAAUUUGAUGCCCACUAGUUUGUUUGAUAAGUUAGGUUUGAGUGAACCUAAAUCCACUAGGAUGAACAUUCAGUUAGCUGAUAGAACUGUUAAGGUUCCUAGGGAUAUUAUUAAGGAUGUGCUUGUUAAGGAUAUUAUUUAAGCACUUGAGCUAUGCAUUUUUGGAUGAGGCAGAAAAGUUGCCUGUGAUUAUUGCAGUAGAUUUGACACCUAAGGAGUGAGAGAUGACUUUAGACUCUCUCAAGAGGUAUAAGAAGGCCUUUGCCUACAAGAUUGUUGAUAUUCCCGCGAUCAACCCUAGUUUCUAGUCUCACAAGAUUUUGAUGGAGGAUAGCUAUAGACCAGUAGUUCAGCCACAGAGGCGGCUUAACCCGAACAUGAAGGAAGUAGUGAAAAAGGAGGUAAUUAAGCUAAUUGAUGCAGGUUUGAUUUAUCCUAUUUCUGACAGUUCUUGGGAUAGCCCUGUACAGGUUGUGCCGAAGAAAGGAUGCAUGACAGUAGUUCCGCAAGGAGAAGGAUGAGCUGAUACCCACAGGAAUGGUUAUUUUCAGAUUCUAAUUACACCUGAAGACCAAGAGAAGAUGACUUUCACCUGCCCCUACGAGACUUUUGCUUAUAGACGGAUGCCUUUUGGUCUAUGCAAUGCGCCGACUACGUUUCAGCGGUGUAUAAUGGCUAUUUUUGAUGAUAUGAUUGAGGAGUCGAUGGAGGUAUUUAUGGAUGACUUCUCUGUUUUUGGUAAUUCCUUUUCUCAAUGUUUGGCCAAUUUAGAACGCAUGUUAGCUAGAUGUAUUGAGGCUAACUUGGUGCUUAAUUGGGAGAAGUGUCAUUUUAUGGUGAGAGAAGGAAUUGUUCUAGGGCAUAAGAUUUCACAUGUAGGGAUGGAGGUUGAUAGAGCUAAGAUAGAAACCAUAUCUAAGAUUUCUUAGGCCAUGCUGGUUUCUAUAGAAGGUUUAUUAGAAAUUUCUCUAAGAUUACUAGGCCUCUUACUCAAUUGCUAGUUAAGGAUGCACCUUUUUUUUAUGAUGCAUGUUUAUUUUCUUUUAAGUUAUUGAAGAAACUAUUAACCACAGCCCCUAUCAUGGCUUUGCCUGAUUGGGGGCUGCCCUUUGAGUUAAUGUGCGAUGCUAGUGAUUAUGCAGUUGGAGCUAUACUUGGACAGAGGUUUGAUAAGAAGUUCCAACCCAUUUAUUAUGCUAGCAAGACUUUGACAGGAGCUGAUGCAACCAAGGAUGCAUCUAAGUCGACUAGCAUGGAUCCACUAGCCUAUGGAGGACCAAUGACACGGGCAAGGAGUA